rnacentral:rRNA from 1 species
GAUAAACGCUGGCGGCGUGCCUAAUACAUGCAAGUCGAUCGAUGGUAUGCCCAGCUUGCUGGGAGGAAAUAGAGGCGAACGGGUGAGUAAUACGUAAGCAACCUGCCCACGAAGACCGGGAUAAUCCCUGGAAACGGGGACUAAGACCGGAUAGGUAACAGAACCGCAAUGAUUUUUGUUAUUAAAGGUUAAAACACUGGUGGAUGGGCUUACGGUGCAUUAGCUUGUUGGUGAGGUAACGGCCCACCAAGGCGAUGAUGCAUAGCUGGUCUGAGAGGAUGAACAGCCAC